UACGGGGGGGGCAAGCGUUGUUCGGAAUUACUGGGCGUAAAGGGCUCGUAGGUGGCCAACUAAGUCAGACGUGAAAUCCCUCGGCUUAACCGGGGAACUGCGUCUGAUACUGGAUGGCUUGAGUUUGGGAGAGGGACGCGGAAUUCCGGGUGUAGCGGUGAAAUGCGUAGAUAUCUGGAGGAACACCGGUGGCGAAGGCGGCGUCCUGGACCAACACUGACACUGAUGAGCGAAAGCCAGGGGAGCAAACGGG
rnacentral:rRNA from 1 species